rnacentral:rRNA from 1 species
AUUGAACGCUGGCGGCAGGCCUAACACAUGCAAGUCGAGCGGAUGAAGGGAGCUUGCUCCUGGAUUCAGCGGCGGACGGGUGAGUAAUGCCUAGGAAUCUGCCUGGUAGUGGGGGAUAACGUCCGGAAACGGGCGCUAAUACCGCAUACGUCCUGAGGGAGAAAGUGGGGGAUCUUCGGACCUCACGCUAUCAGAUGAGCCUAGGUCGGAUUAGCUAGUUGGUGGGGUAAGGGCCUACCAAGGCGACGAUCCGUAACUGGUCUGAGAGGAUGAUCAGUCACCCUGGAACUGAGACACGGUCCAGACUCCUACGGGAGGCAGCAGUGGGGAAUAUUGGACAAUGGGCGAAAGCCUGAUCCAGCCAUGCCGCGUGUGUGAAGAAGGUCUUCGGAUUGUAAAGCACUUUAAGUUGGGAGGAAGGGCAGUAAGUUAAUACCUUGCUGUUUGGACGUUCCCAACAGAAUAAGCACCGGCUAACUCCGU